CCAAAAGCUGGCGACCGGCGCACGGGUGAGUAACACGUAUCCAACCUGCCGAUGACUCGGGGAUAGCCUUUCGAAAGAAAGAUUAAUACCCGAUGGCAUAAUUCUUCCGCAUGGUAGAACUAUUAAAGAAUUUCGGUCAUCGAUGGGGAUGCGUUCCAUUAGGUUGUUGGCGGGGUAACGGCCCACCAAGCCUUCGAUGGAUAGGGGUUCUGAGAGGAAGGUCCCCCACAUUGGAACUGAGACACGGUCCAA
rnacentral:rRNA from 1 species